rnacentral:rRNA from 1 species
GACGUAGGGCGCGAGCGUUGUCCGGAUUUAUUGGGCGUAAAGAGCUCGUAGGCGGCUUGUCGCGUCGUCCGAUGAAAACCUGGGGCUCAACCUCCACGGCUUGCGGUCGAUACGGGCAGGCUCGAGUUCGGUAGGGGAGACUGGAAUUCCUGGUGUAGCGGUGAAAUGCGCAGAUAUCAGGAGGAACACCAAUGGCGAAGGCAGCUCGCUUGGGACGUGACUGACGCUGAGACGGCGAAAGCAGUGGGGAGCAAACAGG